GGCAGAACCACUACGCUAAAUCCCCGACCUCCUCCAAAUUUUUUUAAUGUACUUAUUAUUCACUCAGUGGCAAGUUCAUUGGAUCACAACAUGAAAGAUUAUCUCCUCAUUAGUAUUUACCACAAGAAUUAAAACAAUAUUGAAAUAGUGUUAAAUUUAGAGCAAAGAGAUUAUUGGUGAGAAAACAUUAGGCUUUAAAAAAGUUCUUUUAAGGGUGACAGAUACAUCAACACCUUCUAAAAGAGGGUUUGGAGAGCACACUUUCUUCUAUGACAUUUAUAUUUUAAUAGCCUCAUCGAAGAGUUUUCUGGGGGUUUUUCAUCAAAGAGUUUUGAUGCUUGAUUUCAAGAUGGCAUCUUCAGCCCUGAAAUUCUCUCUCUCCUUCACAAAUCCCAGGGUAAAGGCCAAAGAUACACUGUAGUAUAAGAAUACAGUAUUUGGUUUUGUCCCAGGUUCCUGUCACAGAGCUUCUAAAGCCCUGGAAAUCUCCUGAGUGUAGUAGUAUCUUUGAUAUUCAUAAUAAGCCCCUUUUAGAAUACCUGAGUUUAGACUGAGGAGAUGACUUACUUGGUCCCUCUGGAAACCCUGAGGAUGGAGAGGCCAUCCUCAGAAAAACCAGGCAGUCAAAAGGUUGGAAUUUUCAGUCCCACCCACCAAACUCUAGGAAAGAGGAGCUAAAGAUAAAACUAUAAAAACUCCAGAACAAUAAGAUUUGAUAUUUUUUUCAGGUUGGCCUUAAGCUCAUUAUGUAGCCUGGGGUGGCCAUGAACUUGAGGCGAUCCUCCUGCCUCUCAGCCUCCUGAGUGCUGGGAUUACAGGAAUGGCUUGACUGUCUCAUUUUCAUGAGCCUGAGGUACUCUGGUGUUGGACUUUUUGCUUGACAUUUGCAUGAACAGGAAUAGUUUACAUGUUUGAAGUUUAUGAAUUCUAUCAGUUAAAAAGUUGUGGUUUUCAAACUGAUGAAAGUAAGAGUCCCGUCUGUUAACAGCCUACUCCACCCGCACACAUCUACCCCUAGCUGAUGACAUCUGAGAACACUUGAAGGCCACUGUGAAAGGAGACCCAGCACUCCUCCUAGAAUGAAAUCAUCAUGUCAAGCAAUUUGGGUCCUGUCCUGGAGAAAUGUCCCUGCUGCUAUAUCUAGGAAGUCCACUGGAGCCCACUUCCGGACCCAGGAUCAGCUGAGCAGCUUCACAGCCACUCACUGCCCUGACGAGAAAGCAGCCAGACCUCAGAAGCAAAUCAGCAGGGCCAGCACCACUGUUGAGGAGGCCCAAAGGCUGUGAAGGCUGAGCUCCAGAUCCUCAUUGAUAAAAGCCAGCUGACAGCGAAGACCCCUUAUUAUCAGCGACCUCAGCCAACACACAACCUUCAAAACAUACUUUCUCCAGUUAUUUUGCAGUUUUAUUGGUUUCUUGCUAACCAUGUUGCUUGUAGCCCAUGUCUUCCUCUUUCCCCUCUCUUCUUCCUCCUUCUUUACCUUCUCUUGGUGGAUCUUCAUGUGUCUCUUGCAGAAAGCAUUCCUGGAUGGCAAACUUUUCGAAUCUUUGCAUGUGUGAAUACAUGUUAAUGUUGCUCUCACUUCAUUGUGGAUGAACUGGGUAUGGAAUCCUGGAUUCAGAAUAUUUAAGUGAUACUUCAUGAGGUAUAAAUUCUGAAUUCAGAAUAAUUUUCUGUCAGAAUUUGGUAAAACAUUUCCUUGAUAUUUGUACGACCUUGAAUUUGAUCCCCAUAGCUGCCAAAGAUAAAAAAUUGAAAAACUGAAAAAAGCCUUCUGUUCCCCUGGAUCCUCACACACACACACACCUUUUGGGAUUUCCCAGGAACCCAGACAUUUCCUGAGGAUACAGUGUUUCAUUAUUCCUUUUCAGCACUCAUGAGUCCCUUUCAAUUUGUAGACUUGAGCCUUUCUUCAGGAGAGAUUUAAAAAACACUUUUAAUAUUUCAUUCCUUCAAUUUUUUCUAUUUGUCCUUUCUGGAACUUUUGGUUGAAAAUUUAAAAAAAAACAAAAGAACAACUUGCCUGUAGCCUCCAUGACUCUUAGUAUUUUUCUUACUUGCUUCCUUUUCUUGCCUUUAUUCACAGAAUAUGGGAGAUUGCCCUAACUCAAUUUUGUGAACUUCCUCUUUGCAAAUUUGAUCUCCAUCCAUGCCCAUUUUGCUCUACUUCAGCCAUCUGUUGCAAGAUUUUUUUUUUUAUAUCAGCAGUCAUCCUUCUAAUUCCCAAGAACCCUACUUCUUUUUAUAGGGUGGGUCUUAUUUCUGUACUGGUGAUAACUUUGGUCCCAUCAGGAGGUUGUACACUUACUUGUUACAUUUAAUGAUUCUGCAGGUGGCUUUCCCUAAUUGCAUAAUUUUUUGUUUUUUGUUUUUUGUUUUGUAUUGGGGAUCAAACUCAGGACCUUUUGCUUUCAAGGCAGGUGGUGGCACCACUGAGCUAAAUCCCCGGCCUGCUGUUUGUUUGUUUUUUAAUUGCUUGGUUUUUGUUGUUGUUGUUUGGGUUUUGUUUUUUGAGACAGGGUCUCAUCAUGUAGUUCAGGCCAACCUCAAACUCACUAUGUGCCCCAGGCUGGCUUCGAAGUCUUGGUGAUCCACCUGCCUCAGCCUCCUGAGUGCUGAGAUUACAGGGAUCUGCCACCAAGUCCAGUGCAAUUGCAUGAUUUUUGACUGUCCUCAUUUCUGCUUAAGGGUCUUGGCCCUUUGACAUUAAGAGUUGAGACAUGUGUCUCCAGCCCGGGUGAGAUUCCCUGCUGUGUUAGGAAUAAAUGAAGAUUUGGGUACAGAGGUUCCAGCUCCAAGGACUGUGCAGAGCAGGAGGCAAAGGUGGGAGGUAAGGAAAGUAGUGCCUGGAACCUCUCUCUUGGCUACCACAGCAAACCUGGGACAGUGGCCACUUUCUCUGGUUCCGAUGCCUUCUCUGGGAGCCUCUUCUUUCAUGAUUUGCAUCUUAAUUUGGUAGGUAGUAAGCUUCACUUAAAAGUUUCACUUCAGGGGCAAAAGUAGAAAUCAGCUACUUUUUUGUUUGUUUAGUGCUGAGUAUUGAACCCAAGACCUUAUGCACGCUAAGCCUGUGCUCUACCACUGAACCACAACCCCUCAGCUCCAGCUUUGAGCUGCUUCUAAAACAGCCAAGAAUGAUGCAGAUGGGAGAAGAUAUUUGUGGCUCCUGCUCAUGAUUGUUUCAGUUUCUUUUUACUGGCCUCUCUGGAUUUCUAAGAGAGUUUACUUCUCCAGGGACCCUCUUUUUCUACUUUUAUGUAGGUGUUUAGGCACCUUGGCUCUGUGUGGUUUUGUUUUUGUUUUUGUUUUUUGUUUUGGGGGGCUCUGUGUGUUUUAUCAAUCUGCUUCAUAUCUUUCAUUAAUCAGUCCUUUUUAAAAAAAUAAGUCAGGGCCGGGGAUUUAGCUCAGUGGUUCCACUGCUUGCCUCGAAAGCACAAGGACCUGAGUUCAAUCCCCGGUACCAAUAAAUAAAUAAAUAAAUAAAUAAAAUUUAAAAAGGUCAGUCCUAUUUUGGUGCUCUGACAAUAACUGGCCUGGAUUUCCAGUGUUGCUUUCAAGUGAAUCACUUCUAGGGAUUGGUUUGUUUGGUUUGAGGUGUAACUGCAAAGU
ensembl:lncRNA